AAAUAGGGCCUUUCCUCUGCUGAUUUAAUCAGCAUAGCCAAGAUCCUGCAGCUGGGAGAGGAGCCCCAGGCCUGGGAUACCCAGGUGUUCAUUCAGUGAUCAGGACAGAAUACAGACAACUCACCAUGGAAUUUGUGCUGGGAUGGGUUUUCCUUCUUGCUCUUUUAAAAGGUGUCCAGUGUGAGGUGCAGCUGGUAGAGUCUGGGGGAGACCUGGUGAAGCCUGGGGGGUCCCUGAGACUCUCCUGUGCAGCCUCUGGAUUCACCUUCAGCAACUACUACAUGCACUGGUUCUGCCAGUCUCCAGGAAAGGGGUUGCAGUGGGUCGCACGUAUUAGCAAUACUGGUAGUAGCACAAUCUAUGCAGACUCUGUGAAGGGCCGAUUCACCAUCUCCAGAGACAACGGCAAGAAUACACUUUUUCUGCAGAUGAACGGCCUGAGAGCCAAGGACACAACCGUGUAUUGCUGUGCAAAAGACACAGUGAGGGGCCCUCAGCGUGUCCAGUGCAAGGUGCGGCUGGUGGAGUCUGGGGGAGACCUGGUGAAGACCGGGGGGCUGGUCCCUGAGACUUUCCUGUGCAGCCUCUGGAUUCACCUUCAGUAG